rnacentral:snoRNA from 1 species
UUGUAUAAAUGAUGAUUAAAUAGUUAUCCCUGUCUUACAUUUAUUUCUGGGGAAAAAUUAUUUAUCUGAUAAAUAU